AUGUGGAGGCUCAAGGUGUCGGAGGGCGGCGGGCCGUGGUUGCGGUCGGUGAACAACUUCCUUGGCAGGGCAGUGUGGGAGUUCGACCCCGACCACGGCACGCCCGAGGAGCGCGCCGAGGUUGACACACUGCGCCGGGACUUCACCCGCAGCCGCUUCCACAAGAGGGAGUCACAGGAUCUUCUUAUGCGCAUGCAGGUACUUAUAUACUGCGUGUCACGUCUAUGUAAACUUGUUGUAUAUGCAAAUCUGGGUUUUAAACUCCAGCAUCUACCGUACAAUUCUCAAAUUAUCUAUUGCAUGCAGUAUGCGAAAGAAAAGCUUCUUCAGGUUCAGGUGGAUCUUCCGGCGAUCAAGCUUGUAGAUAUUGCACAAGUCACAGAAGAGACUGUAUUAACAUCAUUGAGGCGAGCCCUUAGUCAACACUCUGCUCUGCAAGCACACGAUGGGCAUUGGCCUGGCGAUUACAGUGGAAUUAUGUUCAUUAUGCCCAUCUUGAUAUUUGCUCUACAUGUUACUGGAACACUCAAUACCGUCCUUUCAAGAGAACAUCGUCGUGAGAUUUGUCGCUAUAUUUACAACCAUCAGAAUGAAGAUGGUGGUUGGGGCACACAAGUGUUGGGCCCGAGCACCAUGUUUGGAUCAUGCUUAAACUAUGUUACCUUGAGGCUUCUUGAUGAGGUGGACAAUGAAGCCUUGAUCAAGGGGCGUGCUUGGAUUCUAUUGCAUGGAAGUGCAGCUGCAAUACCACAAUGGGGAAAGAUAUGGCUCUCGGUGGUUGGUUUGUAUGAAUGGUUUGGAAAUAAUUCGAUCAUUCCUGAACUAUGGCUUGUCCCACAUUUUCUUCCAAUUCAUCCAGGACGAUUCUGGUGCUUUUGCCAAUUGAUUUAUAUGCCAAUGUCUUAUCUCUAUGGUAAAAAGUUUGUUGGCCCACUUAUACCAACAAUAUUGGCAAUAAGGGAGGAGCUCUAUAGCAUACCAUACGGUGAGGUCGAUUGGAAUAAAGCACGUGACACUUGUGCCAAGGAAGACCUUCGCUAUCCACGAUCAUUGCUGCAAGAUGUUAUUUGGACAUGUCUUACGAAAUUUGUGGAACCAGUGUUGAAUUGUUGGCCAGUUAAUAAGCUAAGAGAUAAAGCAUUGAAAAACCUCAUGAAACAUAUCCAUUAUGAAGAUGAAAGUACUAAAUAUAUUGGUAUAUGUCCGAUUAACAAGGCACUAAAUAUGAUUUGUUGUUGGAUCGAUGAUCCAAAUUCAGAUGCAUUGAAGUUGCAUAUUCCAAGGAUCUAUGAUUAUCUAUGA
rnacentral:rRNA from 1 species